AAAAAUGAAUUAUGACUAAACGCCUUCUAACUUAAUGCUUUCGGACGGGGAUCCCCGGCAAAUACGUAAGAGGAUUUUUAUUUGUGCAUGUGUUCCUGCAAUUGAUCUCUUUGAUGACAUUCUCAUUCAUAGAAAGCGUUUGAUUUAUGAGUGGAGGAUGAAUCGCAAACAGCAGCGGCUUAGCCCUGGCCGCGGCCCGGCCGCCUCAUAACUUCCAAUCCUUUGCUAUUAAGAGCCGGGUUCUUAAAUCAACCCACCCCCCACACAUGUUGCUUACACUCUGCGUUUUCUCACGGUAAGUAGCCAUC
rnacentral:lncRNA from 1 species